GUUUGACCCCCCGAAACUAGGCGAGCUACUUUUAAACAGCCUUACGAGCCAACCCAUCCCCGUGGCAAAGGGGCGGGAAGAUUUAAAAGUAGAGGCGACAUACCUACCGAGCCUAGAGAUAGCUGGUUAUUUAGGAAAAGGAUUUAAGUCCACCUUUAAGUUUUUUAAGUACACUCAAAACCCCCCACAAACUUAAAAGUCAUUCAAAUAAGGUACAGCCUAUUUGAACAAGGAGACAGCCUGCAACAUAGGGUAAUACACAUCUUCCUGUGACCGGGUAGGCCUAAGAGCAGCCAACCUCCAAAAAGCGUCCAAGCUUUGUCACUAACCAUUAAUAAUCCCACCAUCAACUAAUAACCCUAAACCACUACUAAAUAACCCCAUACUACUAUGGAAAAUAUUAUGCUAGAACUAGUAACAAGAAGAAGAACUUCUCCUGAAUACGAGCAUAAGCUGCAAUGAACUACUCACCGGCACUCACCGCUGCUAAAC
rnacentral:rRNA from 1 species